rnacentral:rRNA from 1 species
AUGAAAAUCAUAGCGCGGAACUGACGGGGGCUUGGGAAUGCCCCGGCAGUUUGAGCUUUGCUGGAUGUCCAGCAAAGAUAUCUCCCCGAUGUGAUGUUCUUGUCGGAGACUCACCUCGAUAGCUAUCCGGCUGAGGGUUUACGUAGAAGAUUGAAGAUGGACCAAAAUUUUGUUUGCACAAGUGAUGGAAGGAAAGGAGGGUUGAUCCUUCUCUGGAAUAAUAAUGUGAAAGUCCAUAAACUGGCUCUUGAUGCGAUGUUUAUUGAUGUAAGGAUAGAGGGAAGCAACAACGUGUCCUGGCGCCUGACAGGAAUGUAUGGAGAGUUUAAGUGGGCAAAUAAACACUUAACAUGGAGCCGAAUGAGAUAG